rnacentral:siRNA from 1 species
AUCUCAAUGAUAUACCUGACAUGU